UCGAAUUUUAAUUUUGGAUAAGUGAAGAGUACAGGUCCCUGAGUUGCUCCAUUGAUGGGUCACUACAUACAUUCAAUCUAAUUUACAAGCUUUUUACCUAACAUUUAUAGCUAAAUGUUGAACUCUACUCCACAUGGUGGUCCAUCUCUUUUUUAUCCAUACCUUCAGACCCCAAUUUUUUCAAGUAAGAAACCAAUCCCAGCCAUGAAUUAAUUACCUAAAAUAAUAGUCAUUGAGCCAAUACAAAGCUUAAAUCCUACAGACAUGUAUCUGUAAUUAAACAUCUGCACAUGAAAUAUUCAAACAAAAGUUCUGGUGUCAAUUUCCACACAAGCUAGAAAGGGAUAGAAAGAGAAAGAACAUAGAAAAUAAAACAAAUAUUUUCACAGGAAUUGAAGUUUAGCAUCUUAAUGUGGGCAUGCAUGAGGAAGUGAGAGAGAGGGACAGAAGUAAAAUUAGGAUAUAAACAAAAUGAUGACGAUGAGAUGAUGAUGAUGAUGAAACAUAUAAAUCCAUGUAUAUGAAAAAUAGGCAUGUUGAGAGAGAAAGGAUAAAACGAUCUGUGAGAUGUGUGAGAUGUGAGAUGGAGUUGAUCGAUCAUAAGAGGAUAUAGAUAGAUAGAUAGAUAUAGAUAGCCCUACCAAAAUAGCCAUUAGGCAAUGCAUACAGAUGGGACAAAAUGAUCUGAUGAGGGAGAGUUUAUCAAAAGGACAAAACAUCAUUCAUCUAUCACAGACUCGAUGAUCCAAAAAAUCUGCCACCACCAUGGGAUAAAGGGAGACCACAGAAAUAGAGGGUGGGACCAUAUGUAAGGGAACGGGGACACAUUCAAAUCAACCAGAUUGCUGAGAAAAGGAACUUUAUUCAGUGGUGGUGAGCUCACCCAAUAAUUCUAUUUGAAGACCAUGUAUAACUAAAUGUAAGAGACACAUCAAGUGUAUGUAUAUAUAUAUAAAAAAAAGGGUAUAUAGGUUAAGCAUGCAGCUAGGUAGGUAGCUGUUUAAGCAUAUGUUAUCACAGUUUGAAGCAAUAGAGAAAGAAAAGAUGAACCCUAAUGAAAAUGAGAUGAGUGAAAUGGAAAAGUAAAUAAGAAAAGAAAUGAAGAAGAGCAGAGAGGGUCUGAGAAAACCGUUGGGCUAUGUUGGUGUUAGGUCGCUGUCGAAGCAUGAAUUGCGUAGGGUGUAGGAAGAUUAGCCUUUGUAGAGGGUAGAGGGGUUAUUGGUGUAGUUUCAUUUAUUCAUGUAUUGUAAACAUGUCUUGGCUUUUGUUUCUCGCUUUUGUUGCUUUCCAGUACUGCAAAAAUUGUAUGAGUAUAAUUAUGAUGGAGUUAUCUGCCAUAUGCCCCCCUUUCCCUUUUCUCUCCUUCCACCGUUUCCUGCAUUAACUUCUCUCAUCCAUACAUCAAUUUUCACCUUUCUCUCCCUGUCACUCUCUUCACUUUUUAUACUAUCACUAACAACUCAAACACCUCCACUUCUUCUAUUCUAUGCAAUCUCUCUCUUCCAUUUCUCUUCUCAAAUA
rnacentral:lncRNA from 1 species